rnacentral:rRNA from 1 species
UACGAAGGGGGCUAGCGUUGCUCGGAAUGACUGGGCGUAAAGGGCGCGUAGGCGGUAUGGACAGUCAGGUGUGAAAUUCCCGGGCUUAACCUGGGGACUGCAUUUGAUACGUUCAAACUAGAGUGUGGAAGAGGGUCGUGGAAUUCCCAGUGUAGAGGUGAAAUUCGUAGAUAUUGGGAAGAACACCGGUGGCGAAGGCGGCGACCUGGUCCAUUACUGACGCUGAGGCGCGAAAGCGUGGGGAGCAAACAGGAUUAGAUACCCCCGUAGUCC